GACGUUACCCGCAGAAGAAGCACCGGCUAACUCCGUGCCAGCAGCCGCGGUAAUACGGAGGGGGCAAGCGUUAAUCGGAAUUACUGGGCGUAAAGGGCACGCAGGCGGUUUGUUAAGUCAGAUGUGAAAUCCCCGGGCUCAACCUGGGAACUGCAUCUGAUACUGGCAAGCUUGAGUCUCGUAGAGGGGGGUAGAAUUCCAGGUGUAGCGGUGAAAUGCGUAGAGAUCUGGAGGAAUACCGGUGGCGAAGGCGGCCCCCUGGACGAAGACUGACGCUCAGGUGCGAAAGCGUGGGGAGCAAACAGGAUUAGAUACCCUGGUAGUCCACGCCGUAAACGAUGUCGACUUGGAGGUUGUGCCCUUGAGGCGUGGCUUGCGGAGCUUACGCGUUAAGUCGACCGCCUGGGGGAGUACGGCCGCAAGGUUAAAACUCAAAUGAAUUGACGGG
rnacentral:rRNA from 2 species